rnacentral:rRNA from 1 species
GAUGAACGCUGGCGGCGUGCCUAAUACAUGCGAGUCGAGCGAACAGAUGAGGAGCUUGCUCCUCUGACGUUAGCGGCGGACGGGUGAGUAACACGUGGAUAACCUACCUAUAAGACUGGGAUAACUUCGGGAAACCGGAGCUAAUACCGGAUAAUAUAUUGAACCGCAUGGUUCAAUAGUGAAAGACGGUUUUGCUGUCACUUAUAGAUGGAUCCGCGCCGCAUUAGCUAGUUGGUAAGGUAACGGCUUACCAAGGCAACGAUGCGUAGCCGACCUGAGGGGGUGAUCGGCCACACUGGAACUGAGACACGGUCCAGACUCCUACGGGAGGCAGCAGUAGGGAAUCUUCCGCAAUGGGCGAAAGCCUGACGGAGCAACGCCGCGUGAGUGAUGAAGGUCUUCGGAUCGUAAAACUCUGUUAUUAGGGAAGAACAAAUGUGUAAGUAACUAUGCACGUCUUGACGGUACCUAAUCAGAAAGCCACGGCUAACUACGUG